UAGGGAAUAUUCCGCAAUGGGCGAAAGCCUGACGGAGCGACGCCGCGUGAAUGAAGAAGUCCUUCGGGAUGUAAAGUUCAAUCGGCCGGGGAAGAAUGGUUUGCAUACUAAUAAUAUGCGAGCAGAGACGGUACCCGGAAUGAAGCCACGGCUAAUUACGUGCCAGCAGCCGCGGUAAUACGUAAGUGGCAAGCGUUAUCCGGAAUCACUGGGUGUAAAGGGUGUGUAGGCGGUAAUAAAAGUUUUGUGUUUAAAUUCAGGGCUCAACCCUGAACUGGCAUGAAGGACUGUAUUGCUAGAGUGACAAAGAGGAAACUGGAACUCCAGGUGAAGCGGUGAAAUGUGUAGAUAUCUGGGGGAACACCAAUGGCGAAGGCAGGUUUCUGGUUGUCAACUGACGCUGAGACACGAAAGCGUGGGGAUCAAACG
rnacentral:rRNA from 1 species